rnacentral:rRNA from 1 species
UACGGGGGGGGCAAGCGUUGUUCGGAAUUACUGGGCGUAAAGGGCUCGUAGGUGGCCAACUAAGUCAGACGUGAAAUCCCUCGGCUUAACCGGGGAACUGCGUCUGAUACUGGAUGGCUUGAGUUUGGGAGAGGGACGCGGAAUUCCAGGUGUAGCGGUGAAAUGCGUAGAUAUCUGGAGGAACACCGGUGGCGAAGGCGGCGCGCUGGACCUCUUCUGACGCUGAGGCGCGAAAGCCAGGGGAGCGAACGGG